AUACUUACCUGGCAGGAGAGAUACCAUGAUCACGAAGGUGGUUUUCUCAGGGUGAGGCUCAUCCAUUGCACUGCGGGUGUGCUGACUCCUGCAAUUUCCCCAAAUGCGGUAAACUCGACUGCAUAAUUUGUGGUACGGGGGGACUGCGUUCGCCCUCUCCCCUG
rnacentral:snRNA from 1 species